CAGAGCACUCAGGCUCCGCCUCUGACGACAGUCACUAUCGUGCAGCAAGCCCCGCUGGGUCAGCACCAGCUACCUGUGAAGGCUAUCACCCAGAACGGGACACACCUGGUUCCCAUCAGCACUGCUGCGUGCACAGGGAACCCUCUUCAUCUGCUGGCGGCUCACGCGUCGGCCUCGGCGUCCCUCCCCACCAAGAGGCAGAACGGAGAACUCCAGGAGCAGCCCGACUCCAAGAGGGCCAAAGGGGAGGAGGAGAAGGGCAGCGAGGAAGCAGCUUCCACCAACAACGGCAGCACAGACACAGCCGGAGAAGACGGCAGCAACUAGCCUUCCAUCCCGACGACCUUCAACCCCCCCUCGAAGUCCUGCUUUUCAUCCACCGUCUUCUCCAAGGUGCCAAAAAGACUUCAGAAUGUGCAGCCCCCCUCCCAAACUCUUCCAUUGCUCCACCGGGACCCCACAUGCACAGACUCGAUCAAGGAGGGAACUGACGCGUCCCUGGUGACUUGGGGGGGCCAGCAUCAAUGUAGUCACCUCUCUGGAGCAUGACAGACUCGGACCGGACAGCCGCUGCUUCCGUUUCCCGCGUGGACAUUCCCGUUCUUGGCAGCUAGCCUCCACGUCGCCGGAAACACAGCGUUCUGUGGGAUCUGGGAAACAUCUCAACGCAGGAUCUGGGGAAUCUCUGUUGUUUUGUGUGACAUGAAUGUAGUCUUUCUGUUCCUCAAAGAAAACACUACAGAGUGAAUGCUCUUUCCGUUCUUUUCUGUUCAUAUUUGACAAAUAUCCUAUGAAAUAAGACGUAUAUUCUCCUGUGUAUGUGAGCGUACUCAUGCAUGUUACGGGUGUUGACGCAGAUUAUCUGAACACAACAGUUAGACUGAAUCCAGGCUUUAUGAUUCGGACAGUGCUGCACUUAAACUCUUAUUUUUUAUUUUUUUGCUUUGUGUCAAACUUUUUCAAUUCUUUUCAAAUUACAGGAGGAGAAAUAAGUGUUUAUUCUGCUUCAGUGUAAAAAAAAAAAAGCUUUCAUUUCUUUUUUUUUUUUUUAUAUAAAUUUAUUUAAAACUGAACUGCUCAGUUUGUAUUUCUUUGAGUAAACUCCUGCUAAAAAACCUAAAUUGGUUCAACUUUUGAGGUGGAAUAAUGGAUCUUUUUUUUUUUUUUUUUUUUUUGUUCGGG
rnacentral:lncRNA from 1 species